CUUCACACACCCCUUUGUGUUCUUGCGG
rnacentral:sRNA from 1 species